CAUUCAGUCAAUAAGAAGUGGAGCUGUGAAGAGAACAAUUCUCAGACUGGAUGUUGAGCAUCAGCUAGUUUCUCCUGUUGAUUUAAACCUUGUUGUAGAGAUGGAACAUUGGCUGGGGAUUAUUCUUGCUGCUCUUUUCUUUGAGUGUAAAGGAGAAGACAGAGUGAUCCAGCCACCAGGAGAUGUCAUUACUGCUGAAGGAGAGACACUUAUUCUUGGCUGUACAUUUGAGACCAGUGACACAUUUCCAUAUUUGUUCUGGUACAAACAAGAAGUCAAUGAUUACCCAAAGUACAUGCUGAAGCGUUAUUCAAGCACAAAAGACAAUGCUCCAGAGUUCCAGAAAGAUAGAUUUGAUGCUAGAAUCAACAAGACAUCAGUUCCUCUGGAGAUCCAGAAGCUUCAGCUGUCAGACUCUGCUGUGUACUACUGUGCUCUGAGGCCCACAGUGACAGGAAACACCAAAACUCUGUACAAAAACCUUUGGAGUAUGAUAGAUUAUGAAGCUUGA